rnacentral:rRNA from 1 species
UUAAGGAACUCGGCAAAAUGACCCCGUAACUUAGGGAGAAGGGGUGCCUGUCUAUGACAGGCCGCAGAGAAUAGGCCCAAGCGACUGUUUACCAAAAACACAGGUUUCUGCUAAGUCGCAAGACGAUGUAUAGGAGCUGACGCCUGCCCGGUGCUGGAAGGUUAAGGGGAUCUGUUAGAGCAAUCGAAGCAGUGAACUUAAGCCCCAGUAAACGGCGGCCGUAACCAUAACGGUCCUAAGGUAGCGAAAUUCCUUGUCGGGUAAGUUCCGACCCGCACGAAAGGCGUAACGAUUUGGGCACUGUCUCAACAAUAGACUCGGUGAAAUUGUAAUUCCGGUGAAGAUGCCGGGUACCUGCGACAGGACGGAAAGACCCCAUGGAGCUUUACUGUAGCUUGACGUUGGGUCUUGGUACUACAUGUACAGGAUAGGUGGGAGACUAUGAAGCAUGGACGCCAGUCUGUGUGGAGUCAUCCUUGGGAUACCACCCUUGUAGUACUGGGAUCCUAACCAUAGGCCUUGAAUCAGGUCUUGGAACACCGUCAGGUGGGCAGUUUGACUGGGGCGGUCGCCUCCUAAAAAGUAACGGAGGCGCUCAAAGGUUUCCUCAGCACGGUCGGAAAUCGUGCGAAGAGUGUAAAGGCAAAAGGAAGCUUGAUUGCAAGACAUACAGGUCGAGCAAGGACGAAAGUCGGACUUAGUGAUCCGGUGGUACCGCAUGGAAGGGCCAUCGCUCAACGGAUAAAAGCUACCCUGGGGAUAACAGGCUUAUCUCCCCCAAGAGUCCACAUCGACGGGGAGGUUUGGCACCUCGAUGUCGGCUCAUCACAUCCUGGGGCUGUAGUAGGUCCCAAGGGUUGGGCUGUUCGCCCAUUAAAGUGGUACGCGAGCUGGGUUCAGAACGUCGUGAGACAGUUCGGUCCCUAUCCGUCGCAGGCGUAGGAAAUUUGAGAAGACCUGUCCUUAGUACGAGAGGACCGGGAUGGACGUACCUCUGGUGUACCAGUUGUUCUGCCAAGGGCAUGGCUGGGUAGCUAUGUACGGAAUGGAUAAGCGCUGAAAGCAUCUAAGCGCGAAGCCAACUUCAAGAUAAGAUUUCCCACCGUAAGGGUAAGACCCCAGGAAGACUACCUGGUUGAUAGGUCGAAGGUGUAAGUGCAGUAAUGUAUUUAGCUUAUCGAUACUAAUAGGUCGAGGACUGACCU